rnacentral:misc_RNA from 1 species
GAAAUGCGAUAAGUAAUGUGAAUUGCAGAAUUCAGUGAAUCAUCGAAUCUUUGAACGCACCUUGCGAUCCUUGGUAUUCCUUGGAGCAUGCCUGUUUGAGUAUCAUGAAAUCUUCAAAGUAAAUCUUUUGUUAACUCAAUUGGUUUCUACUUUGGUAUUGGAGGUCUUUGCAGCUUCACACCUGCUCCUCUUUGUUCAUUAGCUGGAUCUCAGUGUUAUGCUUGGUUCCACUCGGCGUGAUAAGUUAUCUAUCGCUGAGGACACUGUAAAAGGUGGCCAAGGUAAAUGCAGAUGAACCGCUUCUAAUAGUCCAUUGACUUGGACAAUACUUUUAUGAUCUGAUCUCAAAUCAGGUAGGACUACCCGCUGAACUUAAGC